GUGAACUUUUUUAUUUUUAUGCAUUCAGGUCACGGAUUACAACUCAUUACUAACAGAACUUGUACACUGUAAACAAAAAGAAAAGAAAAGAAAAAGUGUUUUUGUUUGUUUAUCGACACCACGUGAUGAGUGCAAACUACGUUGGAAGAAUCUUAGAGAUCAUUAUGUUCGGAACUUGAAAAAACAGAAACGACCCAGUGGAUCAGGAGGGUCAAAGAUGUUGAAGGAAUGGAAGUUUUCUCAAGUCAUGAGUUUUCUGCAACCCCAUGUUCACUCUAGAAGUAAUCUGGAUCAUGUAGACAAGCAAGGGGAAGAUGAGCAGACUACAUUCAGUGAUGAUGAACAGACCGAAAAAAACAGGACAAGCGGAAGACGAAAGUGACUGUGACAGUGUGGUCACAAGAGAGUGUGCAUCCAAACCAAUACAGUGUAACGUUAGUCCAAGUCCAGUUUCAACCCAGAGUUUGCCACUUUCACAUGCAAAACCCAAAAGGCGUAAAACCAAGAUAGAUGAAGUGGAUGAAAGGUUGUUAGAAAUACUCAAUAAGCCUGAACCAUCAACCCAGCCAGUCCAGGAUGAUAUUGACCAGUUUUUGCUUAGCUUGGGCCCCACUGUAAGACGAUGACGGAAACGCACCCAGACUCGUGCAAAAAUACAAAUUUUGAAUGUACUGGAUGAGCUGGAGACCUUGGAUGAGCAAGCCCAGCAACAGAACCAAUGACCGUUCCCGCAACAGACCAUGAUGCAACCUGAAACGUCUUCUAUCCAGAACCAACACCAAACCUAUCAACAAAGUCGUUUUCCAAUUCAGCCAAGCCACUUUAACCUAGACGCUGGCCAACCUCAUCAUCCAGAUAACCACAGCGGGAAAGUUACUUACCAAAUGCAGGACAACCCCACUUCCUAUUAUCAACAAUUAAAUAGUAAUUAACUAAUAUCAAUGUCAUUUGUGAGAAAAAUAAAAAUGAAAUGUUUCUUUUGUGUUAUGUGAAAUGAGGACAUCAAUGUCAACUUAGUAAAGGAAAAGGAAAUUAAGAUUGUAUUUCUAUUCACCGUAAUGUUAUAGCUAGCCUCUGUUUUGGUUCGAUUGCUUUUCUGUAAUUGGUGUUCUGCUUAGU